AGAUAGGAUGUGUCAGAUAGGCAGUGCAUCGCUAGCUGGCUGUUACAAUUUCAUUUUAACAGUUGCUAGUUGCACUCCUCUCUGUUGCGUUCAUAAGCUUGC
ensembl:miRNA